UACGUAGGGCGCAAGCGUUGUCCGGAAUUAUUGGGCGUAAAGAGCUCGUAGGCGGUCUGUCACGUCUGCCGUGAAAUCCCCAGGCUUAACCUGGGAACUGCAUCCGAUACUGGAUGGCUUGAAUCCGGGAGAGGGAUGCAGAAUUCCAGGUGUAGCGGUGAAAUGCGUAGAUAUCUGGAGGAAUACCGGUGGCGAAGGCGGCAUCCUGGACCGGCAUUGACGCUGAUGAGCGAAAGCUAGGGGAGCAAACGGG
rnacentral:rRNA from 1 species